GAAGUGCGAUAUGUAGUGUGAAUUGCAGAUUUGUGAAUCAUCGAAUCUUUGAACGCAAAUUGCACUCCUUGGUAUUCCGGGGAGUAUGCCUGUUUGAGGGUCGCCAAAUCAACAUCGAAAUUCAUUUGCUUUUUGGUAAAUGUUUAUCGGAUUUGAGCCGUCUUUUAUUUUUUUUAAUUAAAGUGGCUUAAAAUUUACUUUUUGGUAUCGAAAAACGUUAUUUUACGAUCAAAUUGAUUAAAAAAACAAACGUUUCGAAUGCCGUCUUUUAGUGUAAUACGUUUGACUGUGGUGUUCAAUCAUGGUUUCAUUCGUAUACGAUUUUUUCAAUUUUUGACCUCAAAUCAGGUAAGAACACCCGCUGAACUUAA
rnacentral:misc_RNA from 1 species